CGAUGGUUGUCCGCGUUUAAGGUUGUAGGCUGGUGACUUAGGUAAAUCCGGGUUGCUAAGGCCGAGAACUGAUGACGAGCUUCGAGCGAAAGCGACAAGUGAAGUGGUCGAUGCCAUGCUUCCAGGAAAAGCCUCUAAGCUUCAGAUAUAAAGGAACCGUACUGUAAACCGACACAGGUGAUCAGGUAGAGAAUACCCAGGCGCUUGAGAGAACUCGGGUGAAGGAACUAGGCAAAAUGGCACCGUAACUUCGGGAGAAGGUGCGCCGG
rnacentral:rRNA from 1 species